rnacentral:rRNA from 1 species
GACGAACGCUGGCGGCGUGCCUAAUACAUGCCAGUCGAACGAGAGCGCCCGGUGCUUGCACUGGUCACUCUAGUGGCGAACGGGUGAGUAACACGUGGGUAACCUGCCCAUCAGAGGGGGAUAACACCCGGAAACGGAUGCUAAAACCGCAUAGGUCUUCGAACCGCAUGGUUUGAAGAGGAAAAGAGGCGCAAGCUUCUGCUGAUGGAUGGACCCGCGGUGCAUUAGCUAGUUGGUGAGGUAACGGCUCACCAAGGCCGUGAUGCAUAGCCGACCUGAGAGGGUGAUCGGCCACAUUGGGACUGAGACACGGCCCAAACUCCUACGGGAGGCAGCAGUAGGGAAUCUUCCGCAAUGGACGCAAGUCUGACGGAGCAACGCCGCGUGAGUGAAGAAGGUUUUCGGAUCGUAAAACUCUGUUGUUAGAGAAGAACAAGUGCUAGAGUAACUGUUAGCGCCUUGACGGUAUCUAACCAGAAAGCCACGGCUAACUACGUG